AGUGAACGCUGGCGGUAGGCCUAACACAUGCAAGUCGAACGGCAGCACCGUAAGAGCUUGCUCUUACGGGUGGCGAGUGGCGGACGGGUGAGGAAUACAUCGGAAUCUACUUUUUCGUGGGGGAUAACGUAGGGAAACUUACGCUAAUACCGCAUACGACCUACGGGUGAAAGCAGGGGAUCUUCGGACCUUGCGCGAUUGAAUGAGCCGAUGUCGGAUUAGCUAGUUGGCGGGGUAAAGGCCCACCAAGGCGACGAUCCGUAGCUGGUCUGAGAGGAUGAUCAGCCACACUGGAACUGAGACACGGUCCAGACUCCUACGGGAGGCAGCAGUGGGGAAUAUUGGACAAUGGGCGCAAGCCUGAUCCAGCCAUACCGCGUGGGUGAAGAAGGCCUUCGGGUUGUAAAGCCCUUUUGUAGGGAAAGAAAAGCAGCAGGUUAAUACCCCGCUGUUCUGACGGUACCCAAAGAAUAAGCACCGGCUAACUUCGUG
rnacentral:rRNA from 1 species